rnacentral:rRNA from 1 species
UAUCCAAGCAGCGUAGUCAUGUGAUUCAAUUCGACGCAACGAGCAGUACCCUGGGCCAGACUUGUAAUGCAGAUCAUCAUGAAAGAAAGCCCACUCCUUGCAAGCGCGUAGGCAUAUGUGGCGCAUGGCUGUUCUCAGCUCGUGUCGAGAGAUGGUGGUAUAUGUCGCGCAAAGAGCGCAACCUUUCUUCCUGUCCACAUCAUGUAGUGGGGGCACUGCAGAGAGACUGCCGGUGACAAACCGGAGGAAGGGGGGGAUGACGUCAGUUCAGCAUGGCCUUUAUGUCAGGGGUUCCCCACUUGUUCCAAUGCAGGAUACAAAGGCAGGCAAACUCGGGGGAGGAAGGUAUUGCCAAAAACUCGUUUACAGUUGGGAUGCCAUGUUGCAAUUGGCUGCCAUGAGUCGGGAAUGGUUGUUAUUCGGGGAUCAGCACACCGCGGUGAAUACGUUCCCGGGCCUUGUACACACCGCCCGUCACAUCAUGAAAUCUGGAGCGCCUAGAAGUCGGUGACCCAACCCGCAAGGGAGGCAGGUGCCGAAGGCGAGGUCAGUGAUUGGGGUGAAGUCGUAACAAGGUAACCGUAA